rnacentral:lncRNA from 1 species
ACCAUCUUUAUUCUGAUGAUUUUAUUCGAAGUUAAUUGUCUAAUUUGUUUCAGAAAGAGAGUCAAUAUCCUCUGAAUGCCAGAAGUCAUAACCUCGCCUCACUUCCUUUUGGGGACCUAGAUAACUUGUUCAGUGGUGUAAUGCAAGGCCUGUUUGGUUAAAUGGCAAUUUUGUAAUGCUUAUGGAGAACUUAUCCCCGUGUCUAAAUGGAA